GACGAACGCUGGCGGCGUGCUUAACACAUGCCAGUCGAACGGAAAGGCCCUGCUUUUGUGGGGUGCUCGAGUGGCGAACGGGUGAGUAACACGUGAGUAACCUGCCCUUGACUUUGGGAUAACUUCAGGAAACUGGGGCUAAUACCGGAUAGGAGCUCCUGCUGCAUGGUGGGGGUUGGAAAGUUUCGGCGGUUGGGGAUGGACUCGCGGCUUAUCAGCUUGUUGGUGGGGUAGUGGCUUACCAAGGCUUUGACGGGUAGCCGGCCUGAGAGGGUGACCGGCCACAGUGGGACUGAGAUACGGCCCAGACUCCUACGGGAGGCAGCAGGGGGGAAUAUUGCACAAUGGGCGGAAGCAUGAUGCAGAAACGCCGCGUGCGGGAUGACGGCCUUCGGGUUGUAAACCGCUUUCGCCUGUGACGAAGCGUGAGUGACGGUAAUGGGUAAGAAGCACCGGCUAACUACGUG
rnacentral:rRNA from 1 species